AGCAAUGCUUGUGUCUAAAUAAAAUGAGGGAAAUCAUUCACUUUUUACUGGAAAAAUAUUUGUGAUUUUGAUGCUUUAAGAAGUAUAGUGAAGGUUGAAAGUUUAUUUCUAUAUGUUGGCAAUUCUAUGGCUUCUUUGGAACUUUUUUGCAAUUAUGAGAUGGAAAUAUUUUCUUCAGACGCUUAUCUCAGUUCCUUUAUAACAACCAGGACAAUUAUAGCUAUGUACGUCAGGAAGUACUCAAUUUUAAGUCUGAACAUGAAGACUGGUACAGACUACUAACUUAUACUGAGGAAAAUGUGACUUAUGAAAGAUACCAAAGUCAGGGUAAGCAAAGUGGUUAUUGGUAUGAUCUUGAUAUGGUCCAAGCUGCCGCAGACAGAUAUGGCCUGAAUAUUUAUAUCACAAGUUACAACAAUUCUGGUACAUUCAAAACUGUGAAAGUGAAGGCAGAUCAAGGCAUACGAGGAUGGCUGCAUUUGGUGUCGGCAGGAGGCCAUCUUGAAAGCUUUUCGGAUUCUUCUGAGAAUGGAGUUUCAGAACCAGAGGCUAACUGUAACUUAGCAGUCCUUCCGUCGGGGAAAAUUGGACCUAUUCCAUUGUGGCCUGAAAUACGUCUUUCCAGUAGCACACAAAAAGUUCCUGAACAUGAUGCACCAGAAUAAAGAGACUUUGUAUUGGUAUAUUCUUAAUGAAAUCUAGUGAUGAUUAAGAUAAAUUCAAACACUAUUUUUAUAUGCUCUUUCAUCAAUAUUCUAUAAUUAUUUUCAAACUAUUUUGAAUCAUUUGAUAUCGAUGGUGAUUUUUAUUAUUUCACAUUUUCGACUUCUUCUCCAGAACCACUCGGCCAAAUUAACCAAUCUUGCCACAAACAAUCCUUGAGUUAAGGGGAUUCAAGUUUGUUCAAAUAAAGGGCCACACCCUUUUUCAAGGGGAGAUAAUUACGAAUUACUGAAAAUUUGGUGGUAUCUUUUCAAAAUCUUCUUCUCAAGAACCACUGGGCCAAAAAAGUUGAAACUUACGUAUAACCUUCUUUACUUAGUGUAGAUUUAGUUUGUUUAAAUCCUGACCCCGGGAAUAAGGUGGGGUCGAAGUUUUACGUAAGAAAACAUGGGGAAAAAUCUUCAAAAAACUUCCUCUCAGGAACAGCUGAGCCAUUUUAAGUUAUAUUGAUAUGGAAACAUCCUCAAGUAGUGUAGAUUCAAGUUUGUUCGAAUCAUGACCUUCGGGACUAGGUUGGGGCCACCAUGGCGGAUCAAAGUUAUACAUAGGAAUAUGUAGGAAAAAAAUCUUCAAAAAUCUUCUCAAGAAAAUAAAGCUAUGAUUAGUCAUAUUGGUAUUGAAGCAUGCUUAGGUAGUGUAGACUCAAGUUUGUUCAAAUCAUGACAUCUGGGGGUGGAUGGGACCACAAUGGGGAAUCAAAAUUUAACAUAGAAAUAUAUAGGGGAAAAUCUUCAAAAAUCUUCCUUACAAGAACAACAAAGCCAUACUUAGUCAUAUUGAAAUGGAAAAAUCCUAGGUAGUGUAUAUAUUCAAAUUUGUUCAAACCAUGACCCCUUGAGUAGGAUGGUGGUUCAAUGCACCAUCCUAGUUUAUGAAUAUACAUGUAUAGGAAAAUAUUCUCUAAAAUCGUUUUCUCAAGAACAGUAUGGUAUGGUCACAUUAGGGAUAAAAGUUUUACAUGGGAAUAUAUAUUAGAAAAAAUCUGCUGAUAAAGAACAGCAGGGCCAUAUUGACUCAGGUGAGCGUUGUGGCCCAUGAGCCUCUUGUUUAUAUUAAUAGUCUUGAGCAUUUUUUUUUAAAUUCUUAUUGCUAAUUGAUUUUUUUUUUACCUUUAAAAAUAUAUAUCAAAGAAUGUUUGAGUCUUUAUAAGGUUACUUUAUGAUUUAAACUCACAUAUUACUGUGCCAUUUUUCUUUGGUUUAUUUUUGCAUUAUUGGAGAAAAUGCAAACACUUGUCCAUAUUCGAAGUGCAAAUUCCGUUGCUAUGUGUAUAC